AAAAAGCUUAUUCCGAAGCUUGCAGUCUAGACGUACCCAUAGUGGACAUACCCAUACCUUUUGCAUACAUAGCCAUGAAAAUGUACAAUGUACAAAUGAGGAUUUUUAUACUACUGGUGUUAAGAGUUCUCACCCUACUGAAAAAAUAUGGCUUUCAGUUGGGAAUUGUAUUCAAGUUGUAUGACAAUACAAUGGCAGUACUGGAUAUAAAGUUACACUGUUUUCUUCUCCCCACCCUUUUGAAGAUAAUCCCUAUAGUAAUACAAGAUGGAGGUGAAACUACUUUUAAAAAAUUAACAUAGCUAUUUCUUUAAACAAAGUUAUAGCUAAGGUAACAAAAAUGGCCUUUUUUACAGCUGAAUAACAUCUAACAAAUCAUUUACAGCCUGUGGAACAGUUGGGAUUUUCCUUUUUAAAUGCAGAUGAUAUUUUGCUAUUUGUGAAAUAUAUAGCUAAAUCCAAGCUGCACAGAGGAAAUGAUACUCUGGACACGAUUUGCACAGAUCUCCAUGUUACCAAUGGUUAUGUACACAUUCCCACUUUUAUUUUCAAAGAGCCUGAUGAAACUAUUCUGAUGGCUGAUAUAGGGCUUAAUCAUAUUGUAUGACAAAAAGAACGUACCAACAUAUGCACACAUGGAAAAACAUAUCCAUUACACAUUGAUGUAUUGAAGUUGAGCAUUAGUUAUAAAGCAUACCAUAGGGAAAAUUUAAUAUAGCAUUUCAUUGUUAUGGUGCAUUAGAAAAUUAUUCUAUUAAAUUUAUUCCUGACUCCAUAGCUGUACUGAUUCGGGGGGUGGGGGGGGUAGCUUACCUUACUUAUGUUGGUAGAGACCCACUGAUAGUGCACUUAUAGAUUCUGGAACACGGGGAAGAGUCAAAUACUUUUAUUUCAUAGGUGCUGGAACUAAGAGUGCUAUAGAACCCCUAGCCUGAAGUGUUUUCCAUCCUUAUUAGAGUUUAUGGUCUGAUUCAAUGGCUUUCAGCAUCUCCAUUAUACAAAUUGCUCUGGCACCACUGCUUGCUUGGCUUAUCACAUCGCAAAUAAUGUUUACAUGAUUUUUAUUAUUAUUUUAACCAGAAAUUGGGGAACCUGAUGGUGUUUGGAUUUCAGGAACCUUCUAAAUGUGGUUCCGUUUUUAAAAGUACUGUGAAACUUUCAAGUUCUGCAUAACAUUUCCCCCAAACCAAAUUGUUUUUCCAAGAGAUAUUUAAUUUUAAAAAGCAUGGGUUUUUUUUAACUAAAUGGGAGUCUAUGCUCAAGAAAACAAAGAUUCUUGCUUGACGGCAAUUGUUCCCUUGUUUUUAAAACAAAAGAAAGAAAGUUCUAAAAGCAUGCAACAGCACAAUAGCUUCCAUCUGGUCUUCAAAAAAAUCUCAAAUAUCUGUUCCAUCUUUUCUAAUUUCAAGCAAAAGUUUCUGUCCUUUACAACAUAUAUCAUCAGUUCUCUCUGACUCACUUCCAUUCUUUAAUGUAUUUCUUUACCAGUUUCUUUACCAACAAUCCCAUGUGCCCUUCCCCUCCUACUCCAAGCUUUCUUGCACAGAACAGCUUUGAAUUCUCUUCAGGAUUAUUUCCAGUUUUGAAUGAGACUGGUUAUAUUCCAUUAUGUCUAACCUGCGUGUAAAAGUGAAACUACAAGUAAGAAAUGUAGUUUAAAAACAACUAAUUUCUCCCUCAACUGGUGGUUGAUGAGUAAUUUCAUGGAUUCAAUUAUGCCUUAUCUUCCCAGAUGGAGUUAUUAGGGGUAUGUCAUGCCACAAUACUGAAAAUGAAUUGCUUACUUCAACCUUUUUUUGCUGUAUGCGUGUAUGUUACACAUAUGCUCCAGGGACUACAACCCAAUUGCAUUCAGUGUAAAAGUUCAGCUUAAAUUCCAAGCAAAGGAAAAAACAGAAAGAAAGGUAAGAAACAGAAGGGGGGGAAAAAACAUGCAAAAGGGCAGACUAGGAAAUUGAAAGAGAUUCUACAGAAGCCCAGUUAAGGCUGGCACCUGAAAACUAUUGAAAAAUUUCGUUUUGAUCUUUCCAUUCAAAAUAGUCAAUUCUCAUUCUCCUCAUAAUGAUUAAGAAAAAGGUGAAAUUGGAUUUUAUUAUCAUUGAUCUUUGUUAUUACAAUUGUUGUGUAGAGAUUAUUUGAUAAGUGGCAAAGGCAGACCUUAUUUUUAAAAAAAUCCCACAAAGAAUAUUAACAAAUGCACUGUCAUUUAAAGUUUGAUUAAUGUUUAUAAAGCAAACAAACUUCAUUCCUUUCAUAGGAAGAAAGUCCGAUUUGUCCCCAAACAAGCUGUUAUCUUGCAAAUGAAGUCAGUAAAUAUUAAAAUGUUCUAUCGGGACAUUUGGCAUUGAAAGGUUUAAAAAAAAAAACUAAACUACCAAAGGUGACAUAAAAAAAUCCCUGUGCAGCAGCGGGGCAGCAUAGCCUAUGCAGGAUGUAUGUGUAUUCAUGAAACUAUGCCAUGUAUAAAGCAAACUGUAUGAAGAGAAAUGAAACAAACAAUGGAAAUACAAUACAGAUCAGGCAAAAUCCCAAGAUCUACAGGAAAGGCUUUGUCUAUCCUGCAGAUGGUACAACAGCACAACUCCAGGACUGUAGCUGUGCCACUGCAGCACCAUAACAUAGAUGAUUCCUUCAGCAACAUAAAGGUUUUUUUCCCCCAAUCACGGUAGUUAAUCCAGACCACCAAAAAUGCAGUUUCUUCCAUCAGUCUAGCCACCACUACCUCUGGGAGUAAAGUCAAACUAACUCCAACAUUCAAGGGUGCAAAUUUUUCCACAUCUCCCAAGUGAAGCAGAGAGCUAAAUCGAUUUAAUUCUCAGUGUAGACCAGGAUUAAGAUAGUCUCUCCCAUUGUAGAAGAAAGCAUGGUUUUGAGCUUAUGCCAACAAUUUAGCAUAAUUAAUGUAAAAACCAAUUCCUGUUUUUACUUUAUACAGGUUAAUCAUAACUGAAACACCACUCACCUGACCUGAAAACAUUUAUCACACGAUAUUUGUAAAGGUUGCGAAUUGUUUUUUUAAAAACAACUGUCACUAAAAUAAGAUGACCUGAAUACUUCUCUUUAUUUCUCUGCUUAGAGGAUUCACCAAGAAAAGCUGUUUUCUCAGAGCCGGCCCAUGUAUUUUCCUAACUAAACAACGGAAGUAGUCACCUAUCUUGACAAAACAACAGAUCCUGGUUUAUUAUACACAUUUCUACAUGGAACAGUAUCUAUCAGAGUUACAAACAACAGAUGGAUAAUCCAGAAGCAAAGUAACCCAACAUCGGUUAGCCGUUAGCAAAUAAGGGUUUGUGGGGGUGGAUUUCUGUCACAUAUGUCACAGUCGAUAAGGAAGAGGAUAUCAAAUGUGACUAACACAUAUCUUAUCCAUAUCAUUCAUGUACAGAUCAGGCCAGAUCAAGGGCUUAAUAUUUUAGCUACCUCUACAACUUUUGCUUUCAAACGCAAAAUAAAGUGAGCUUAUUUCCUGGUACAAUUUUAUUCUUCUUAUGUCGGAUGUGGUAAAACUAAUCAUGCCACAUGAUUUGCACAAUGAUGUGAAGAAUCAUUAAAAAAUGAAUGUAGAGCACUUUGAACAUGGAAAGCUGUAAAUAUUAAAGUGGGCCUGUUUUCACAUGUGCUGAGUACCCACAAUGCUGCCUCCCUCAAUGAAACCUACUAAUGAUCAACAGCUGGAGGGGAGGGGAAUCAAACCAUAUUUAUUUAGAUACCCAAGUGUGGAUUUAAUAGCUUAAUUUUAGCAUGCAAUUUGUUUUCCAUUUCUACCUUAUUUUGAAAUCAACAGUAAUUUCUGUUUGAAUUAUAUAGUUAUAUACCUGUUUACAAAUAAAUUCAUAUAUCCUGUACCAAAUGUCUACAAAUAUGAUUGCUAUAUACAUUCAUCCAAUAAGCACAUAAUUAUGGAGCAUAAUCUGUUCCCCUUCCUCAUCUGAGUAUUCCCUUUGAAAUCAAUGAGACUAUCUGCUUGCAUACACUAAGUAGGAUUUAGCCCUAAACAUUGCAGUAUUUACUUAGUCAAUUGGCACUGAGCAAUGAUCAUUAGAGGCGCAAGACCUAGCACAAAUCACCAUCAUUCAACAAAAUGGAGCUCCCAAGGAAAACAAUGAAACCAGCAACAUGAGACAUUGGUGCAUGGAAUGACAGAAUGAUUUAGCAUCUCUUUUUCUCUCUUUAAUUAUGCAUCUUAAGAGGACAGGAUGAGAUAAAAACCACAUUCAUUUUAUGCUAGUUAUCUAAUUAAUUGGAAAUUCUUUCUUAAAGUACUAUCUAGGUGCAUGAAAGAAUUAAAACCUUGCCUGAAAAAAGUAUCUUCUUUGCACACACACAAAAAUAAUCUGGUGUAUUUCAAUUUUUAAUGUAUUAACCACAAAUAUGAUUGCCUAUAUCAAUAUCAGGAAUUGCACCUUUUUUCCUUUUAUGAUAGCAUGGUCCCAUCCAAGAAAAUGCCUUUUCACCUUAUGACUCAACUUCCACUCUGCCCCUCUAAGUAUCUGCACAGAAUGCGCAAAACACAAACUUGUUCUGUUCUCAUGUUUCUUUUGGGAGGAUUCUUUUUUAAUGCUUCAUUACCUAUAGCUUCUUUCCUACAAAUAGCUCAGUUUUCAGGAAGAGGUUAAUAUUCUUCUCAGUAUGUGAACAUCCUAGCUAGCUCAAUGAAACAGCAUUAGAAGAUAUUCAGGCCUAUCUACAGAUACCUCCCAUGGAUGAUCCCACUUGAGAUACUCAAAAUAUGGUGUUAAAGGGGCCUUGAACAUCUACAUUCAUGCUGUCCUCAUAUCAAGUAACAACACGGACUGAAGGAAACCCAUCCAAACGAACCAGUGAUGGAGAGCCAUAUAAAGGCUAAUUCAGUCUCAUAUCGUGGAUUUCCUAUUGGAAGAAUAAAGUGAAGCCAAUAGAACAAGGAGUUUGGAGAAAACAGAUUAACAGGGCUACCUCUCUGAAACCAGUGAAGCCAACACAUCUGUUUUAGUCUACCAAAGAUCCACUGAGAAAAAUAAGAUAUUUACACACAAAUCAAAGAGCCAGAAUUAAAUCGCUAUCUACUAAAGUCUUGUAUGAUUGUAAAUGCAAUGUGUGUAAACUUGUUAAAUUUAAUUGGUUCAUACUGCUAUACCAAAUGUCACCAGACCCUUUUACAUAUAGAUGCCACAUGUUUAUACAUUCAAGUGGUACUGUAUGUGCAAUUUUUUAUUCUACGUAUACACACGAAGCUAUGACAUAUUGCUAUAUGUGCCUUAUGUGUUGGUAAUACUUGCUUACAACUUGGUUUCCUACACUGUCCUCAAUGAGGAAAAGAAAACUGUAAAGGAGACUACUACCUUGUCGGUGUCUGGAUAGGAUAAGCACCCACUAAAAUCAGAAUCAACAACAAGGCCUACAACUAUUCAGCAUAUUCACUGUCCAUCCUAAAAAGUACCUGGUCCUAAUUUCACAUCACUAUCCCAGUCCCGGAGAACAAAAUAAUAGAAAUAUCUCGAGAAUAAAAAUUAGAUUUGCUUUUAAAAUGCAAUAAAAUUACAAGUUAGUAAACGUUAUGGUUGCAAAAAGAUUCCCAAAACAAGGGCUUGUAACAUUGGGGUUCAUUCACACAUAUCCAUGGUCGCACACGUAAGGGAGUGGGGAACAGAUUGUUUAAUUUUUCAGUUUUCCAGUCCUUUGCAAAUAGAGUAUUUAUUUCCAUUAGUUACUAUACAUACUUUCUUUUCACUUUUCUCAGAUCAAUGAGAUUCGUUUAGUAAAGUUUUCUUUUCUGUAUUAUCACAGAACAAAUUAUGGAUUCAGCCAACUACUGGUGGGGAUUUAAAAAAAAUUAAGGUAGACUUAUGGUCGAACCUUUCUUCCAACAUUGCAAGAUGCAGACCCGCCUGGCGUUUCUGAAAUCAAUACACAAUUCUGGUUAUACACUGCAUACACAUAAACAUUGAGGCUGUUAUUUAAAAAGUCUAAUAUUGGGAUCACCAAGCACUCUACAGUAGGCAGACUUUCCUGAAUCUCCUAACAAUCCCCAAGAUGUAACUAAAAUUACACCACUGAUUUUUCUAGUAGACUGUAGGUGGACAACUGAGAUGCCUGUGUUGACGAAGAGGCAUACGCAACAUUAACCUGACAACAGGGCCGUCUUCUGUUCCAAAGAAAACAGAAUCGACACACUAACAUCAGCAGCGGGGAGCUCUGUGUUGCUGGACAGGAGUGUGUCUUGUUCUUUGAGAAAGAUAUGGAGCGUGUGAGAGAGCAGGAAUGGGAAGAAAGGAAGCCGCAGAGCGUGAAUUUUGAAGUUGUUGGCUUUUGUGUCACCUUGUGUUGCAACUGACGCAGAACAUGCUACAGGAAGCCUGUAAUAGGCUGGUCGCGGUCACUGCUAUGGAGGCAGAACCUUCUAUGGAUUGUUCAGGAGACCACUGAUUCACUUUGUUACCUUAGUCAAAUGUGUUAACUUCUUUGUGCUUCAUCUUUCCAAUUGUUAAGUCAGGAGAAUAAAGCUGCCUAUCCACUUUUUAAGGCUUUCUGAAUUCUGUGUAGUAUGAUGUAACAAAAGUAAAGCA